UUUGUCUGAGGUGAGAAAUUUUGCCACCCACUCACACACUGAGUCCGUAAAAGGCCAGUCAAGGUAGAUGCAGGGCGUGGUGGACCUGCCAGACAAA
rnacentral:ncRNA from 1 species